rnacentral:rRNA from 1 species
CAAAAACAUGGCUCCUUGAAACUUAUUAAUGAGGAGUCGGACCUGCCCAGUGAAUUUUCAACGGCCGCGGUACUCUGACCGUGCAAAGGUAGCAUAAUCAUUUGCCUUAUAAUUGAAGGCUAGUAUGAAUGGUUUGACAAGAAUGAAGCUGUCUCUUUAUAAUUUAAUAGAAUUUUAUUUAUAGGUGAAGAAGCCUAAAUAAAAUUAAAAGACAAGAAGACCCUAUCGAGCUUGAAAAAAGUUAACAGAAUCAAUUUAAUUAAUAUUUAUAAAAAAUUAUCUAUUAAACAUUUUAGUUGGGGCGACUAAGGAACAUAAAAAGCUUCCUUUACAAAUCAUAAAUAAAAUCAAACUAGAAUUGAUCCAAAACAUUUUGAUUAAAGGAAUUAGUUACCGUAGGGAUAACAGCAUUAUCUUUUUUAAGAGCUCAUAUCGAAAAAAAGGUUUGUGACCUCGAUGUUGGACCAGAAUAUCCUAAAGGUGCAGCAGUCUUUAAGGGUUGGUCUGUUCGACCAUUAAAAUUCUACGUGA